AUUUUAUUUCAUCUCUACACAGUGUUUCACGUACAGCGUACGAUCAUCAAUCGCCUGAUGAUCGUACGCUGUACGUGAAACACUGUGUAGCGAUGAAAUAAAAU